CUGCUAUCUUGGAUUACCUAUUCAUUUUCAGAGUUAAUUAUUAAUUACUCUUUGCACUUUUUCAAUUUUUAAUGGCGUUGGGUUUGAUCUUAUACUCUAAUCGUCAGUUUUCUUGUUCUAAAUUUGUUCCUUGUUUUGGUAUUUCAUCAUAUUAAUCUUACAUUUUGUGGUUAUAUUAUUAUAAGUGGAUGAUUCCGUUUGUUGUUGGUUUUGAGUUUGGGUUUGUAUGCUGCAUAUUCACAAUUCAAACAAACAGAGGUGAAAUUUUCGGAGAAUCGGAGGCGCCUCUAAUUAGCUUGCUCAUCUCUUUCGCAGCGACAAUGGUGAGAGUUAGCGUGCUGAAUGAUGCUCUCAAGAGCAUGUACAAUGCAGAGAAACGUGGAUACAUUGGAGAGUUCGAGUAUGUUGACGACCACAGGUCUGGUAAAAUUGUGGUCGAACUGAAUGGAAGGCUUAACAAGUGUGGGGUCAUUAGUCCUCGUUUUGAUGUUGGUGUUAAGGAGAUUGAAGGUUGGACUGCCAGGUUGCUUCCUUCAAGACAGUUUGGAUAUAUCGUGCUCACCACUUCUGCUGGCAUCAUGGACCAUGAAGUGGCUAGAAGAAAGAACGUUAUUUCUUCGAGAUGUUCCAUAUUAUGUUUGUAUGCUAUUUAUUUCUCCGUUUGUUGAAAUUUUCAUGCUUGCAACCAAGAUGCAUGACCUAUGUUUAUGCAGGCACAAGUGGGAGGUGAGUGCACACAUACAUGUAGUGGGAAGUUAAACUCUUUUUGGUGUAUAAUUUAAUAAUUGAUUGUCAGGCAGUGGUUCCAACCUGUAGAGGCUUCAAGGUUAAGAAGUAAAAUCUGGAAGUUACUCAAGGAAGAAUUUCAAAAUGCAUCCAAGUCUAACUUCUCUAAAGAAUCUUCUCCUUUGAGUGAUGCUUCUGAUGAAUGAAUUGACAAGUGGGAUCCUUUCUGAAUCUACACACAGUUGGUGCAUAUUGUCCAACCAGUCAAUCAAUUAAUCUGCCGUGAAAAUGAUCUUUUGAGUUUAAUAACUGGAAAAAUUAGUCUGAUUUCGAAUUUAUGAAAGACAGCUUUUUAAAAGAAGAAUAGUGCUAUCUGGAUCAAGAAGUUGAUAUUUCAGAUCUAACAGUUUCAGACUGUUGGAAAUGACUCCCUGACGAUAUUGAGGAGAAAAAACUUGUGGUAUCAAGAUCUCUUAAGAACCUAAACUAAAGUCAAUUGAGGACCUGAACAUACGUCAAUGGAGAAUGGUGAAGAGGGUUGUCAGUUCAGAGGUAGAUAUCUCAAUGCACAUCAAUUACAACUGUUACAUGUGAAGAAUUGCAAAAGCUUGUCCAUCUUUCUCAUGGAUUUUGUUGUCAUGGAAGUAUUGAAAUUGUUUUAGGCUUUUAAAUUAGUUUUCAAGGGACUUGUACUUGUGAUAAUAUGGAUUGUUUUUAGCAAUACAAUGUAUUUACUUUGACACAAUUUCAAUUAUAUAGAAGUUUUAUUAUUAA